GAGGUGGUAGCUCAGUGGUAGAGCGGAUGAUUGCAGCACUUCUCAACCAGCGCGGAACUCAUCAGGUCAGGUGUUCAACUCACCUUCGCCUCU
rnacentral:tRNA from 1 species